CCUACGGGUGGCAGCAGUGAGGAAUAUUGGUCAAUGGGCUUACGCCUGAACCAGCCAAGUCGCGUGAGGGAAGACUGCCCUAUGGGUUGUAAACCUCUUUUGUCAGGGAGCAAUUGGCGCUACGUGUAGCGUUAUCGAGAGUACCUGAAGAAAAAGCAUCGGCUAACUCCGUGCCAGCAGCCGCGGUAAUACGUAGGGGGCAAGCGUUAUCCGGAUUUACUGGGUGUAAAGGGAGCGUAGACGGCAGCGCAAGUCUGAAGUGAAAUGCCGGGGCUUAACCCCGGAACUGCUUUGGAAACUGUGCAGCUAGAGUGCAGGAGAGGUAAGUGGAAUUCCUAGUGUAGCGGUGAAAUGCGUAGAUAUUAGGAGGAACCCCGAUUGCGAAGGCAGCUUACUAAACUGUGACUGACAUUGAUGCUCGAAAGUGUGGGUAUCAAACAGGAUUAGAUACCCUUGUAGUC
rnacentral:rRNA from 1 species